rnacentral:misc_RNA from 1 species
CCGAGUUAUACAACUCCCACACCAUUUGCCAACUUUACUCAGUUAUGCCUCGGCGUAAGCUCCGUACGGGGCUGCCGGGUCGCGCUGCGGGCGACAGCUACCCUGUAGCUUACCCUGUAGCGCUACCCUGUAGCGUUCCCCUGCGGCGGCCCGCCGGUGGAAACGAAACUCUUGUUUUAUUGGAUCUUCUGAGCGUCUUAUUUUAAUAAGUCA